rnacentral:tRNA from 1 species
GGCGCUGUGGCUGAGUGGUACAGUGCUUGGCUUCUGAUCUGGGUGUCCCGGGUUAGAAUCCCGGUGAAGACU